rnacentral:rRNA from 1 species
AAACUUUCAACAACGGAUCUCUUGGUUCUGGCAUCGAUGAAGAACGCAGCGAAAUGCGAUAAGUAGUGUGAAUUGCAGAAUUCAGUGAAUCAUCGAAUCUUUGAACGCACAUUGCGCCCCUUGGUAUCCGAGGGGCAUGCUGUUC